UACCAGCACCCCGAGUGGUCGGGACGAUUAUUGGGCCUAAAGCAUCCGUAGCCGGUUCUGCAAGUCUCCCGUUAAAUCCAACUGCUCAACAGGUGGGCUGCGGAGGAUACUACAGAGCUAGGAGGCAGGAGAGGCAAGCGGUACUCAGUGGGUAGGGGUAAAAUCCGUUGAUCCAUUGAAGACCACCAGUGGCGAAGGCGGCUUGCCAGAAUGCGCUCGGCGGUGAGGGAUGAAAGCUGGGGGAGCAAACCGG
rnacentral:rRNA from 1 species